rnacentral:lncRNA from 1 species
ACUAGAGUGCCCUCUCCCCCCCUUACUCUGAAUCUUCAAAGAUUCAGUAGACACUCCUAGACUGCUGGAAGUAGGGGGCGUGGCCCCUCCCUAGCACGGUAUUGGUCCAUUCAAUACCAAUUCCACUCCAGGAAGUAGUAGGGAGGGACCCCUGAGGCACUCUGGGUAUUACAAUUCCCCUGGCCACAACAUUUUAAAACCCACACUGCUGAAGUUUAUAUUCUAAAAGAAGGUAAAACAUAAAGGUGAUGAGUAAAGGGGAAUUUUGACUGAAGAUAUCUUCAUCCAAAUGGCAGCAGUUUCUGAAGGGGGAAAAGGUAGUCUAUAUUGGUGGGUGCUGAAGAGAGGAAGAGUCCUGCAUCUAGACUGCUGCCAUGUUUACCUGGAAGUUCCUGCAAUGAAUCUUAAAUGAUGCAAUUAUUGCUUUUGAUCAAUGAAUAUAAUGUGAAUCCAAUGUAUUUCUGGACUGUUUAUGAUUACUUUGAUAGCUUAGAUUAUUUUUAAAAAAAUUUUCCCUGAAUUAUAAUAGUUAAAAGUCAAGGAAACAAUUUAAAAAAUAUAGCCUGUUUCAAGGGGAGUUCCUUAAAUUCAUUGAAAUAAGUCAGAAAUUUGCUAACUCAAGUUUAACACAUUCAAAGACCCUUUUCAGUUCACUUCAAGGCAGACUAGAAAGAACAGGGCUGGGAAUCAGGCAGGAAAAAAAUAGCAAGAUCAAGAUAGACUGCAUAGAUAUAACAAAACAACAGUAAGUUUAAUCGAGGGAAAUAAAAUUAAAUUGGUUGUUAAUCA